GCUCGGCCUGGGGUGAGCAGCUCCGGCGGGGGGCGGGCACCCAACAGCAAUCCCGAUUUCUAACCUAAGGCCUAAUUGCACCGAAAGACUAACAUGACCUCGCUGUUUCGCUCCGGGCUGCGAGCAGUGUCACGCUGUGCUACGCUUUAAGGGUGCUGGGCCGGCUCGAUCGCUGCAGGGCGAAGUCUUCCAAUCACCUGUGGAUUAACUACAGCGACGGAAACCCCCUUUCCCCCAUACAGGAGGCAUCUGCACUACCGCGCUGUAGGGGCACAGCUUUGCCGCUGUAGUGUAGAGGUGCCCUGUGUGCCUAGUAAUAAGGAAGGAGAGGGAAAAAUUACAGAUUUUGGGUGGGCAUCAGCACUCUGUAAUCCCUUUAUUGGGAUGCGUUUCAUACCUCUUGUUUUGCACGUGUGAACAAGCUAUUCAGCAAUGAAGAAGUUAAAUUUGCAUUUAUUGGCAUAUACUGUCAAUGAAAGGUCUCAAGAAAGAGAACCAUGUGCAACCACUUGUAUAAUGGUAAAACACCGUCCGCUGUACACCUAGGGUGACCAGAUGUCCCAAUUUUUGGAUCUUUUUCUUAUAUAGGCUCUUAUUACCCCCAUCUUGAUUUUUCACACUUGCUGAUCCCUUAUGUACAUCACAAAGUAUUCAGUGUGUGUCCAGUACAAAGGCCAAGAGAAAUCAAUCUGUUAAGAGCUUUAUCACAAAGUUUACUUUUUACAGAAGGAAAUCAGCACAUAGCGUAAAAUUUGCUACCUAACAUAACACAAGUCAAACUGCUAAUUAUAACCCCAUGGCAUAUAAAAAAAUAUAGCUUUCCAUCAAACAAUCAUUUGACUGAAUUGUUUAAUCAUUUUGUAAUUAUUAUUUGUGCUGUGAUAGCACCCAAAAUGUGCUAGCUGUUUUUACAGAGAGAGCUCUUCCUUGAAGAGCUGAAGAAGCCAGACACUGAUAAAAGAUGGGAUUAUAGUAACAUAGUAGAUCACUAAGCUCAGUGUUUGACCUGAAUAAAUCUCUCAAUUUAUAAGAAAUAUACUUCCCUGGUAAUCAGUAUUUAUGUAGAGCCCCAUUCUAAUAAAACUGUCACUGUGGCUCAGAUUUUAUCCAACAGGGUUACAGCAGUCUGCCCCAAAAAUAUAUAAGUAUGUCAAUGUAGCUGGCUCAGCUUUCUUUGGAGCAAACCUGCAGCUUUAUUUUUCUUGUCAAGGAAAGUUUAGUUCAGAGGCAGUAAGCUUCUCAGUAUUUUUCUCUUGUAUAUUAUGUGAAACUCUGAGAUUGGUUCAGAGUCCAGAGAAUACAGUAGGAGCUUUCUUUCUUAUCAGGCAACUUUAAGGAUUCUGUCUUUAUUGAGGAAUCCAGAAAAUACGUGGUAUGGUAGUAGUAAAGCCUUUCUGCCUUUAUCAACAAUCUGAUUGCUUGAAAAAUGUGGGUUUUUCUUUAUAAAGUGGAAGGAUUUUGGUGCUCAUCUUCUUGAAGGUAUUAGAAUUGCAGCUUCUACUUUUUUCUUGUAGACAUAGAAUAGUUGAAUUAUGUAUCCACAGAGGAUUUUCUAGGAUUUCGGUUAUGUGCAAUCUUGUUCCUUUUAAAUUGGUAACAGAAAAGUCAGAUAAAGCAUCCUGUUUUCUAGAUUUUUAAGACCACCAGAAACAAUUCCAUUUGUCAUUCUUCCAUAUAUUUUUUCUUCCACUUUGUGCAUUCAUAGAGUUUUAAUGAAACGGGAAGAUUAUGAUCAUCUCAUCUGACCCAACACAGGCCAUAGAAUUAUACCCAGUAAUUCCUGCUUCAAGCCCAGGAUUCAUUAAAUUUUUUAAAAUGAAUUGAACAUCUGGUCUAGCGUGGUGGCCUUUUGUAGCUGAAGUCCAGGAAAGGUGAACUUACGAAAUCAAAAUCUCUCAUCCAUCCAAAGGAGCAGUAAAUGAGGCCCUUUUCUAGAAGGGGCCAAGUCCAAAAUAACUCAUUAUCUUAUCAAUGAUGUGUGUAAUGAAGGUGUGUAGGAAGGCCCGACAGACUUCCACUCUAAAAUUACACAGUAUAUGGCAAGCAAUAAAGAUAAGUGUUUCAAAUUUG